rnacentral:rRNA from 1 species
CUACGUGCCAGCAGCCGCGGUAAUACGUAGGGGGCAAGCGUUAUCCGGAUUUACUGGGUGUAAAGGGAGCGCAGACGGCGAAGCAAGUCUGAAGUGAAAUGCAUGGGCUCAACCCAUGAAUUGCUUUGGAAACUGUUUGGCUUGAGUGUCGGAGGGGUAAGCGGAAUUCCUAGUGUAGCGGUGAAAUGCGUAGAUAUUAGGAGGAACACCGGAGGCGAAGGCGGCUUACUGGACGACAACUGACGUUGAGGCUCGAAGGCGUGGGGAGCAAACAGGAUUAGAUACCCUGGUAGUCCACGCUGUAAACGAUGUCGAUUUGGGGGUUGAGCUUUAAGCUUGGCGCCCGUAGCUAACGUGAUAAAUCGACCGCCUGGGGAGUACGGCCGCAAGGUUAAAACUCAAAUGAAUUGACGGGGGCCCGCACAAGCGGUGGAGCAUGUGGUUUAAUUCGAUGCAACGCGAAGAACCUUACCUACUCUUGACAUCCAGAGAACAUUC